GAAAUGCGAUAAGUAAUGUGAAUUGCAGAAUUCAGUGAAUCAUCGAAUCUUUGAACGCACCUUGCGCUCCUUGGUAUUCCUUGGAGCAUGCCUGUUUGAGUAUCAUGAAAUCUUCAAAGUAAAUCUUUUGUUAACUCACUUGGUUUCUACUUUGGUAUUGGAGGUCUUUGCAGCUUCACACCUGCUCCUCUUUGUUCAUUAGCUGGAUCUCAGUGUUAUGCUUGGUUCCACUCGGCGUGAUAAGUUAUCUAUCGCUGAGGACAAUGUAAAAGGUGGCCAAGGUAAAUGCAGAUGAACCGCUUCUAAUAGUCCAUUGACUUGGACAAUACUUUUAUGAUCUGAUCUCAAAUCAGGUAGGACUACCCGCUGAACUUAAGC
rnacentral:misc_RNA from 1 species